rnacentral:lncRNA from 1 species
AUGAACUACAUUGGGAGGGGAUUUUUUUUUUUUAAUUUUUUGACUUUUGGGGGUUUUUUGGUACCGGGGAUUGAACUCGGGCUUGUGCAGCAGGCAGCGAAUCCACGGAACUAAAUCCUCGGCCCUUUUUUAAAAUUGUUUCUCCACUGGGAUGGAGAAAUGAACUAGAGGUUCAGAACACAGUACACAUCAGGUAACUUCUUUUUUUUUUUUUUUUUUUUGGCACCAGGGAUCAAACUCGGGACCUUGCGUUUGUGAGGCAGGCGUUGGAAGCACUGAACAAAAUCCCUGGCUACAUCAGAUACCUCCUAUAUAUAUGCCAGAUGAAAGAAUGAACAGAAGAAAGAUAAAGGUAUAAGAGAGGAAAAGAAAAGAAGAAGAGAGAAAAAGAAAAAAACAACAACAAAAACCCACACAGAUGGAAGAUCACAGACCUCACAGUCCCAUUCAUGUUGCCGUCUGUGUUUAACUACAGGUCUCUGAACUGGGCACACAACCCCAUGAUUUGCUCAGUUGUCUGCCCCUGAGCAAGGAGGCUUAUCUAUCUAGAUGGCCCUCUGGGUCUGCCUUCCAGCUACAAGCCAUGAUCUGGGCAUGGCUAACUACAGACCUUUGCCUCUGACCCAAGAUCCAGCCACCUCAGUUAAUUUGAGGAAAAGAAGAUGCAGUGUGAUUGACCCAGCAGUCAGCUCUCUGGAAACAAAAUGCAGUAACAUUGAUGACACAAAGACAAACAAGACACUGACACACAGUAAAAACAAACUAAUAGCAACAACUAUGACACCAGUGGAAAUAGCAAAGAAAUCAGCAACAAUAAUAGAGUCAAAGAAAAGCUGAAUGUUGACAUACCAUAAAAGCUACCACCUGGGCCAGAGAUUUAGCUCAGUGGCGCUGCGCCUGCCUUGCAAGUGCAAGGUCCUGAAUUCCAUCCCUGGUUCUGCAAAAAAAAAAGUUAGCACCCUUAACAAUAUCGGAGAUCUGUAAUAAUAAUAUAGACACAAAGAAAAAACCAAAUAUUGUCAUACAGUAAAUAUCUUCUAAGAGCAACAACUAUACCAUGAUUAACAAUAGGAAAAAUUUCAACAAUAAUACUGUAGAGCUGAUUAAUAUCUAAACAUUAAUAAAGCUUAAGAGUAACAUAGGGCCGGGGAUUUAGCUCAGUGGUUCCACCACCUGCCCUGAAAGCACAAGGACACGAGUUUGAUCCCUGGUACCAAAAAAAAAGAAAAAAUAAAAGCAAGAGUAACACUGAUAGAAAUAAAGGAGUGGGAAAGGGAAAAUAAAAAGUAAAACUUGGGAAACAAAGAAAAGGAAGAUGAGAUAGAGGAGAAGAAAAAAGUGAAAUUAAAAAGGAAUUUAAAAGUUUUAUAAAAUGAGAUGAAAAGUAACAGAAAAUAGCAAACAAGAAAAUAUGAAAAAAUAAUAAAACAAAGAGCAAAAGAAAGGGAAUAAAAAGUAAAGAAAAGAAAAAACCCAGCCACUCCAAAAGAGUGUCUGUCUCUUGUGACCCUCUCCCAACAAGUGCCCAGAAUGACCCCAGAAACCUUGAAAUAUAGUUGCCCUGUGGCUUCUGAUUCCUGGAGGGGCUGGAUCUUAGUUAACCCUUUCCCCAAAUGGCUCCUGUUUAGUCAUUCAACUAUGGCAAGCAAUGCACUGGGAUUUCUUCUCUAAUUCUAGCCGGCCAUGAGGAAAGAGUCACUUUCAGACAAAAACCCCAUGCUGUAUUUGCUGUUUUCAAUAACUGUGGGCUUUUCUUGGGACUGGCAAGGCUGGCCCAGCCUGUUGUUUUUCCCUGAGGCUGCUGGCCCUUUCUGAACUUAUCUUGGGUUUGCAGAGACAGGAGCCUUCCCUAGGAGCCAGAAUUAGCAUUCUUGCCUGCUUUCUUCUUUCCUUUGUAUUGUCUUUAGUUUCUCCAGUUUCACUGUGAUUUUUAGUUAUCCAAUCAGCUCUUUCUCGCUCCCUGAAGAUUUUCUUCUUUUUCUCUUUACUGGGUUGCUGUUUUCUAGGUGUCUAGAGUCCAGGUCCCGGAGAGUCUGUGACAUGCUGCUGGAUUUUAUGCCCCCAUCUUCCCUUUUCCAUGAAUCUUGACGUUGAAAUGUGGGAGUGGUGCAGUUGUGAUGGUAUUUGAUGAAGCACUGGGUGUUGCAAUGAAUGAGUAUUGUUUUCAGGAAGACCAUGUCCUUGCCCAAGGCAUUCACAUUCUUUUCUUUAGCAGGACACUUGAAAAAAGGUUUGGAAUUGUUGUUUGAGGUAACUGGACAGAAAAACCAUGUAAACAUGACUUCCCAGCAUUUGCUUCACUCCAGUGUGAUGUCCAAGCUUUGAAAAAGUUAAGCCUUCAAUUUGUCAUUAUUAACAGCUAUUUGGUAUCCCAUCUUGUUACUUUCAUUUAGUCAUUUAAAUUGUAUCCAGUUUUUUUUUUUCUAGUAAUACAUGUAAUGUAAAUAAUCCUACUCUAAACAACAAAAAACUGUUUCAGCUGUUCACAUAAUAUGGUCUCAAAGUCUUAUAUAAAAAAAACUAUAGCUCAUCAGUUGUGAUAGUGCAUUUUGUUAGUUACUUUUCUCCCGUUGCUGAGACGAAAUACCAGACACCCAAAGUUAAAGGGGAAAGGGUUUAUUUAGAUCACAGUUCGUGGAGAUUUCAGUACAUAGUUGGCUGGCUCCAAACAGGGAUAGCAAACAGGCAUCACAGAGGAGAAACAACAUGGCAUGCACAUGGUAGCAAGGGCAACAAGGGACCUUAACAGCAUCUUUCUGGUCCUUUUAUCUUAUUCAGACGACUGGGAUUAGGGCAGUGCCAAACCAAUCACUCACAUGUAGUGGUUUAGUAAUCACACCCCCUUAAUCCUAGCAUCACACGUUCCAGAUUUAGCUACCUUCGAAAAAGACUGCAUGUGUAAAUAAGGACUAAAAGGUAUACUAGAUAAUGUGAAAUAGGAAGAAAAGGAGCAAAGGGGAAGUGGGAGGGGUAGGGGAAAGGAAAGAAGGGAAUGGAAUUAAUAUGAGAAAAAUGAAAAAAAGGAAACAAAGUCUUUGUAAAUAGGGAGGGGUG